GGCUCAGAACGAACGCUGGCGGCGUGGAUAGGGCAUGCAAGUCGAACGCGAAAGAGGGGGCAACUCCUCGAGUAGAGUGGCGAACGGGUGAGUAACGCGUGAAGAACCUGCCUUCAACAGGGGGAUAACACUCCCAACGGGGUGCUAAAACCGCAUGAGACCACAGGUCUGCAUGGACCAGGGGUCAAAGGUGGCCUCUACUUGUAAGCUACCGGUUGAAGAUGGCUUCGCGUCCCAUUAGCUAGUUGGCGGUGUAACGGACCACCAAGGCGACGAUGGGUAGCUGGUCUGAGAGGAUGGUCAGCCACACUGGGACUGAGAUACGGCCCAGACUCCUACGGGAGGCAGCAGUCGAGAGGCUUCGGCAAUGGGGGAAACCCUGACCGAGCGACGCCGCGUGGAGGAUGAAGGCCCUUGGGUUGUAAACUCCUUUUGUCGGGGAAGAAAUGCGAUCAGGUGAACAAUCUGGUCGUUUGACGGUACCCGGCGAAUAAGCUCCGGCUAACUCCGUGCCAGCAGCCGCGGUAACACGGGGGGAGCAAGCGUUGUUCGGAAUCACUGGGCGUAAAGGGCGUGUAGGCGGUCAGGUAAGUGAGAUGUGAAAUGCUCCGGCUCACCCGGAGACCGGCAUCUCAUACUGCUUGGCUUGAGUACGGGAGAGGAUGUGGGAAUUCCUGGUGUAGCGGUGAAAUGCGUAGAUAUCAGGAGGAACACCGGUGGCGAAGGCGCACAUCUGGCCCGAUACUGACGCUGAGGCGCGAAAGCUAGGGGAGCAAACGGGAUUAGAUACCCCGGUAGUCCUAGCCGUAAACGGUGAUCACUAGGUGUUGGAGGCAUCGACCCCUCCAGUGCCGCAGCUAACGCAUUAAGUGAUCCGCCUGGGGAGUACGGCCGCAAG
rnacentral:rRNA from 1 species